rnacentral:rRNA from 1 species
AUUGAACGCUGGCGGCAGGCUUAACACAUGCAAGUCGAGCGCCCCGCAAGGGGAGCGGCAGACGGGUGAGUAACGCGUGGGAACGUACCCUUUGCUACGGAAUAGCUCCGGGAAACUGGAAUUAAUACCGUAUGUGCCCUACGGGGGAAAGAUUUAUCGGCAAAGGAUCGGCCCGCGUUGGAUUAGCUAGUUGGUGGGGUAAUGGCCUACCAAGGCGACGAUCCAUAGCUGGUCUGAGAGGAUGAUCAGCCACAUUGGGACUGAGACACGGCCCAAACUCCUACGGGAGGCAGCAGUGGGGAAUAUUGGACAAUGGGCGCAAGCCUGAUCCAGCCAUGCCGCGUGAGUGAUGAAGGCCUUAGGGUUGUAAAGCUCUUUCACCGGAGAAGAUAAUGACGGUAUCCGGAGAAGAAGCCCCGGCUAACUUCGUGCCAGCCGCCGCCGUAAGAC